UUUGAUGCAACGCGAAGAACCUUACCUACUCUUGACAUCCAGAGAACUUAGCAGAGAUGUUUUGGUGCCUUCGGGAACUCUGAGACAGGUGCUGCAUGGCUGUCGUCAGCUCGUGUUGUGAAAUGUUGGGUUAAGUCCCGCAACGAGCGCAACCCUUAUCCUUUGUUGCCAGCGGUUCGGCCGGGAACUCAAAGGAGACUGCCAGUGAUAAACUGGAGGAAGGUGGGGAUGACGUCAAGUCAUCAUGGCCCUUACGAGUAGGGCUACACACGUGCUACAAUGGCAUAUACAAAGAGAAGCGACCUCGCGAGAGCAAGCGGACCUCAUAAAGUAUGUCGUAGUCCGGAUUGGAGUCUGCAACUCGACUCCAUGAAGUCGGAAUCGCUAGUAAUCGUAGAUCAGAAUGCUACGGUGAAUACGUUCCCGGGCCUUGUACACACCGCCCGUCACACCAUGGGAGUGGGUUGCAAAAGAAGUAGGUAGC
rnacentral:rRNA from 1 species